AUACGGAGGAUGCGAGCGUUAACCAGAUUUAUUGGGUUUAAAGGGAGCGUAGGUGGGAGAUUAAGUCAGCUGUGAAAGUUUGGGGCUCAACCUUAAAAUUGCAGUUGAUACUGGUUUCCUUGAGUACGGUAUAGGUGGGCGGAAUUCGCGGUGUAGCGGUGAAAUGCAUAGAUAUGAUGAAGAACACCGAUUGCGUAGGCAGCUGACCAGACCGCAAAUGACGCUCAUGCACGAAAGUGCGGGGAUCGAACAGGAUUAGAUACCCUGGUAGUCCGCACAGUAAACGAUGAAUACUUGUUUUCGGCGAUAUAAUGUCGGAGGCAAAGCGAAAGCGAUAAGUAUUCCACCUGGGGAGUACGCCGGCAACGGUG
rnacentral:rRNA from 1 species